rnacentral:lncRNA from 1 species
AAUGAAUGUUCAUAAUAUACAGAUAAGCGCUAAAAUUAUUCAUGUGAACUUUUGAUACCUUUUCUGAAAUUCUCCAGUCAUUAAAUCUUUUACAAAAUUCAUUUAUUACAACAACAAAAAAAGAUGUGGUAUGAUUGCCAUGUUGAGACAACUCUCCACAAGAGACCAAAAUGACACAGAAAUUAUUAACUUUAGGUCACCGAACGGUCUUCAACAACGAGCAAAGCCCAUACCGAAUACUCAGCUUUUAAAGGCCCCGAAAUGACGAUGUAAAACAAUUCAAACGAGAAAACUAGCGGCCAUAUUUAUGUACAAAAAAUGAACGAAAAACAAAUAUGUAACACAUAAA